GGCGACGUGUCCGAGUGGUUAUGGAGCUGCGUUUAGGCCUCCUAAGCAGAAUCCGCAGUGGCUUUGCCUCAUGAGUUCGAACCUCAUCGUCGUCA